rnacentral:rRNA from 1 species
CACUCCUGCGGGAGGCAACAGUGGGGAAUAUUGGACAAUGGGCGCAAGCCUGAUCCAGCCAUGCCGCGUGAGUGAUGAAGGCCCUAGGGUUGUAAAGCUCUUUCACCGGUGAAGAUAAUGACGGUAACCGGAGAAGAAGCCCCGGCUAACUUCGUGCCAGCAGCCGCGGUAAUACGAAGGGGGCUAGCGUUGUUCGGAUUUACUGGGCGUAAAGCGCACGUAGGCGGACUAUUAAGUCAGGGGUGAAAUCCCGGGGCUCAACCCCGGAACUGCCUUUGAUACUGGUAGUCUUGAGUUCGAGAGAGGUGAGUGGAAUUCCGAGUGUAGAGGUGAAAUUCGUAGAUAUUCGGAGGAACACCAGUGGCGAAGGCGGCUCACUGGCUCGAUACUGACGCUGAGGUGCGAAAGCGUGGGGAGCAAACAGGAUUAGAUACCCGGGUAGUCCCA